CCUACGGGAGGCAGCAGUGAGGAAUAUUGGUCAAUGGGCGGAAGCCUGAACCAGCCAAGUAGCGUGCAGGAUGACGGCCCUACGGGUUGUAAACUGCUUUUAUACGGGAAUAACGCGCCUUACGUGUAGGGCUUUGCAUGUACCGUAUGAAUAAGGACCGGCUAAUUACGUGACAGACGCCGCGUGAAUACGGAAGGUCCGGGCGUUAUCCGGAAUUAUAGGGUUUAAAGGGAACGUAGGGCGCAUGUCAAGCGUGCUGUGAAAUGUCCGGGCUCAACCCGGGCCUUGCAGCGCGAACUGGCGUGCUUGAGUCCGCUGAAGGCAGGCGGAAUUCGUCGUGUAGCGGUGAAAUGCUUAGAUAUGACGAAGAACCCCGAUUGCGAAGGCAGCUUGCUGCAGCGGAACUGACGCUGAUGCUCGAAAGCGCGGGUAUCGAACAGGAUUAGAUACCCUUGUAGUC
rnacentral:rRNA from 1 species